UAGGAAAUAACCAAACAAGGCCCUCAGUGUAAAACCCACAAAACCCACCGCCCGCAAUUUCCCAAUCUCCUCUGCGUUCCCUCUCCUCUUUCAAUUUCUCUACAACUACCCCAAUUUGUGUGAAAAUCUGAGCCCUAAUUGUUGCCACAACCGCCGCCGUCUCCUGACCUACGCUCGAAUCGAGCUGUGACGCCUUCCUGCACUCAAUCGCCGCCGUUGCUUGACCUUCGCUCGACUCCAGCGGCGGCGCCAACUGGCGCCGUCAACUAACGGUUUUCUUCCUUCGGUGUUAUUGGAUAUUUCACCCCUGGAGGUAUGUCUCAGGACCUAGCGUGCAGAGUAAAAGACCAAAAACACAAAUCCAACCAUGAUUAUACUUUUUUAAACUAAUUUGUCAGGUUGGUUUUGAAUGUUCUCACUUUUAUUAGCAUAUCAUGAGAUAAUUUUAUUAGUUUGUUAUAACUUUCAUUGAUACAAUACUAAAAUUGCCUCAUGUUUUAAUUUGUUUGCAGUGAAGCUAUGGACUAUGGAGGUAGUCAGAAUUUUGUCCAAUGUGGUCUCCUUUCGGGGCCUAAUUCACAAUCAUAUUUCGUCCACUUUGUCAGAGGAUCAUCGGAUAGCCCUUCGAGGUGCCCGUUCUAUGGAUAUAUUGAUGUUCUUGAUGUUCCAAUCCAGUCAUUUCUAGUUGAUUGCUUGUUGGAAGUUUUUGAUAUUGAAAAAAGCAAUUUCAAAUUUGGAGGAAAGUGGA